AAUACAUAAUUGACCACUCUAGAUGAGACUUAGAGAAACCUGCAACUGACGAAGCUAAUGCAAUUUGAAAUAGAGAAAUCGCAUCUUGGCAAUUGAUCUGCCAAAGAGAAGGCAAUAGGCAAGCAUCACAGCUCAAGUAAUUUAUUUUAAGGGUGAGUCAAGUCAAUUUAUAUUUCAGAAAGACUUUCGAAACAAGUUUAACUAGAAAUAUUAGCUGCUGAAGUCAUACAACAAAAUCAAGAUGCUGACUAACUACUUACUGGCAGCAUUUAAAAAUCAUUGUACACUUGAGAGAAAACAUCUUAUGUCACUGAAAUUUUACUUGUCCCAAAUAUGCUACUCAUAUCGCAAACUCAUGCCCAUUUAUGCCAUCAGAGAUGCAGCGGCCAAGUUAUCUAUUAUCUAGUAAACACUUAUGCCAUCAGGUGACAAUUCUAACACUGCCAAUGCUUCUUCCCCAAUGAACUCGCCUUCACUUGUUCAAUGGCAGUGGCGGGCAGGUUGUGCUGCUGGUGCGGGGUCCGUGAGCUGCUGGACACUGCCCGGUGAUGUCCUGUCCCCGGCAGGUGAGGGGCCUGGCUAGCUGGUACCGCAGAAGAUGGUGAGAGGCUGAGACCUCAGAUCAGAGUGGCGAACUGGAGUGCUGACCUGAUGCCAUCGCCUGGCGGGGACUCGUUGAGGUGAAACAUUUUGUAUAUGUUUUAAAAUACUUUAUUGAAUUGGCAUGCUUUAGUUAGCCACACAAAAGUUACAUUUACACCUAGGAAAAACGUAUCGCAGGUUACUAAGGAACUGAGCGAGUGAGCAGAAGAAAGCAGACGUCAAACUACAUCCAAAAUCUGUGAUAAAGCCUUCUUUUAAACAAAUGUCCAAAUUACUGAUAAUUUUGCCGGUAAAGAUUCUGGAUUCCGGUUCUUGUAAAAAUACACGCCAGUACCAGCAAAAUGGUAGCUGUAGACUUAAACUCCUUUUAUUCAUUCAUUGAUUAACAUUUCCCCACUUUAUUUGCAGCAAUGGCAGUUUCCAGUUUUUCACCCACACGAAGAAAGCAAACUUCAGUCCAGCCAAGUCGAUCAUUAGAUUUCGCCAUCCCAAAGCUCUUCGAUUGAUUUGUAGACGCCUUCCGGGUGAGUCCAGAAUUCUCCACGGAUCAGCUUCAUCUGCAAAUCAAAAUCGCCAUUCAUGAGAACCAUCACCAAUUCACCAUCUUGCCC
rnacentral:sRNA from 1 species